AAGCAGGAUCAUAGAGCCGUAGCAACAGUGACACAAGUGUGGAUUUGCCUGAACCACUGGAUCCCACUACUGCCAUUACUGACCCCGCUGGCACAUACAGAUUCAGAUUUUGAAAGAUGGGUGAAUCCUUCCUCGUCGGACUACAAAAAUUAUAAAGCAUGCCUUGGGACCACAGACUGUAAAAAAAGAUUGACGAGGCAGCUCCAAUUUCUUCCACUAUAGAAAAGUGUCAUCAACUGUGAUCUUGCGAAAAUAACGUCUUUUGGAGGCAGAGGCUGUGCAGCAGUGAUCGUGAGGUGGAGCCGCCAUAUCAAAGUCCCGCCCAAGCUCCCGCAGACCCCAUAGUAAGAUCACAAUCGUGACACCACACCCCACUUAAGAGAUGAUAAGAACUACCUAAAAAUAUGGAAACCAUCUUUGGAAAAAGGCUUUUUUUACUUGUUUAUUUAUUUAUUUAGUUCUACAUUGUUUGCUCAUUUAAAACUUUGUGUAAUUUAUUAGUCAUUAUAAAAAUAAAGCAUGCAAUAAGCAA